AGAGGAGAAUGAGAACCCAGGUAGUUCCCUUCAAGAAGGGUGACCUGCUCAGCCCCGAGGAAGCGAGAGGCUCCCUGGGGAAAGGGCUGGACAAGCUCCAGGCACAGGGAGCAGCUGGCGGGGUGAGGCUUCCAGGAGGAUACCAAAUGCUAGAGCCUAUCACAGCUUCACUCAUAAUUGCCCAAACUCUCAAAACCACCUAUGACAGGGGCGUUGACAACUAAGCCAGGCUGUACUCAUGCAGUGAAAUACCACCCAGAGAAAAAAGUAAGUGAGCUACCACGCCUAGAAUGACAUGGAGGAACCCAAAUGUAUCCUUUGGGCAGAGGAGCCUUUCUGAAAGGCCCAAACAAUGAAUGUUUACAGCUGCACAGUAUUCCGGAAGGGGACUUGGAAGACAGAGAAAAGACCCAUGGGGUUUGGAUGAAGCGGUGAGAAUAAAAGACACCGAAGCAAAGAAUUUGAAGGCA
rnacentral:lncRNA from 1 species